CCUACGGUGGACAGCAGUGAGGAAUAUUGGUCAAUGGGCGCGAGCCUGAACCAGCCAAGUAGCGUGAAGGAUGACUGCCCUACGGGUUGUACACUUCUUUUAUAAAGGAAUAAAGUGAGGCACGUGUGCCUUUUUGUAUGUACUUUAUGAACAAGUAUCGGCUAACUCGGUGCCAGCAGCCGCGGUAAUACGGAGGAUCCGAGCGUAAUCCGGAGUUAAUGGGUUUAAAGGGAGCGGAGAUGGGUUGUUAAGUCAGUUGUGAAAGUUUGCGGCUCAACCGUAAAAUUGCAAUUGAUACUGGCAGUCUUGAGUACAGUUGAGGUAGGCGGAAUUCGUGGUGUAGCGGUGAAAUGCUUAGAUAUCACGAAGAACUCCGAUUGCGAAGGCAGCUUACUAAACUGCCACUGACAUUGAUGCUCGAAAGUGUGGGUAUCAAACAGGAUUAGAUACCCCUGUAGUC
rnacentral:rRNA from 1 species